rnacentral:rRNA from 1 species
CGUAGGUAAUCUACCUAAGAGUCUGGAAUAACCUGCCGAAAGGCGGGCUAAUACUGGAUAGAGCGACGAGACUCGUAAACGGGUCUUUCGGGAAAGGGAGGCAGCAAUGCCCCUCGCUUUUAGAUGAGCCUGCGUCCCAUUAGGUAGUUGGUGGGGUAAUGGCCUACCAAGCCUUUGAUGGGUAGCUGGUCUGAGAGGAUGAUCAGCCACACUGGAACUGAAACACGGUCCAG